rnacentral:rRNA from 1 species
CAGCCGCCGCGGUAAAACGAGGGGAGCUAGCGUUGUUCGGAAUUACUGGGCGUAAAGCGCGCGUAGGCGGCUUUUUAAGUCAGAGGUGAAAGCCCGGGGCUCAACCCCGGAAUUGCCUUUGAAACUGGAAAGCUAGAAUCUUGGAGAGGUCAGUGGAAUUCCGAGUGUAGAGGUGAAAUUCGUAGAUAUUCGGAAGAACACCAGUGGCGAAGGCGACUGACUGGACAAGUAUUGACGCUGAGGUGCGAAAGCGUGGGGAGCAAACAGGAUUAGAUACCCCAGUAGUCCCUGUCUCUUAUAC